rnacentral:lncRNA from 1 species
GAGUUGUAGUUCUGGUUCCUUUCCAGGCAACGGCUUGUCUUGCUCUGCCUCCUCCCACACCAGAAGUGAGCAUCAGGUGGUGGCGAGCGCGUAGACAGGGUGAAAGGUGUGAGGGUUAGCGACAGAUCUGCGUAUUCACCUUGCUGGUCACCGGCCACCACCACCUCGGCGCCAAUGAAUUUUCUGUCGCGAGCCCCGCUAACGGCUUGCCGCUGAAAACUCUGGGAAAUGUAGUUAGGCGCGAGCAAGCUGUCGUUAGUUGCAGGUCUGAGGCGGGAACCGGGGCUCCUCAUGUGUUCGCGGCUCGGUUCAGCCUUCCACGAGCUCCUGAAGUUCUGCCAUUCCCCGUGGUCUGCAGUUCAGGAAGCUUCUGGAACAUGCGGCGCCUCUGCCAUGGAAACACGAUCCGCGUCGUCAGCUUCAGAUGUGAUCUUGGAACGCUGAGUUCGCCUUGGCAGCUGUCUGAAAGUUAAUCCUGUGAAGGGACCUGAAGCAGCCCUCUGAGGAAGCCUCGCGCACCCCUGCCGAAGAACAUCGCAGUGUGUUCAUUCCCCUUCCGUUGGCCUCAGGAUCCAAGCAGGAAAGAAGAGGGAAGAACUCUGAAGGACAUGAGAGGGACCCAGCUUACAGUCCAGGGUUCCCAGACUGCCCUUUGAGAAUAAAAUAGGAGGCCAGAACCAAAGUCUUUUGGAUAAAACACCGCGACUGACCACACACUAACCCAUUUGGCUGCCCUCCUUCCCAAGGCACAGAUCAUCCCAGCAUGUGAAGGCCUCCUUCUCUCCCUCCCUCCUUCCCUUCUGACCCAUUUUCACUCUUCCACCACACAAUCAAAAAUAAAUAAAUAAAUGAAAAAAAAGCUCUCUUCAUCUAUGG